rnacentral:tRNA from 1 species
GGGCGGUUAGUUCAGUUGGUUAGAACGUGUGACUUACAUUCACAAGGCCAGGGGUUCGAGUCCUCUACCGCCCACCA